GGGCCCGUAGCUCACUUGGUAGAGCGCCUCAUUUGCAAUGAGGAGGCAACCGGUUCGAUCCCGGUCGGGUCCA
rnacentral:tRNA from 1 species